rnacentral:misc_RNA from 1 species
CGCCGUCUGUGCAAAAUUAAUGUUUGAUCAAGCGGAAUACGUUUACUGUAAUCAAACUGCGUUAACACUCAGAAAGCGCCAAAAUGGAACGGUCUCGAGUUGACAGUGAUAAUACCAUUCUGUUUAUGGACGUUUUGCCUUUGGCUCAGCCUGGUCAUUAUUUCAUUCUGUAGCACAUUGGUUCUGCAGAUCCAAAUCCACCCACGAAAGCCGAGAUGUGGUGAUGAAAAAUGCCUUCUUUCAGCAUAUAUUUAGUAUGCUUUUGUUUUCUACUGGAUUUGUCUCUGUCCUUGAGAGAAAAGAAUAUCAAAUGCGCCUCUCCCCCAGAGUGUCGAGAUGGAUGCACGGAUGGAUACAGAGGACCUUACUGCAACAGACGGUGUCCAAGAAAAUGUUUAAAAUGUCACCGUUACACAGGAGAUUGUUCGAGUAAUUGCCACGAUGGACAUUUCGGCAGGCGUUGUAGUACGCGGUGUUAUUUCUGUAACAAGUGUGACAUGUACGGCAACUGUCUGUCGGAGGAUGACACAGAAGAAGCUACGUCCUUCACGACAGCCAACUCAGUUACUUCGAGGGUCACCAUUAGAACCAGGCGUUUGAAGGCCUCGCGUAACUAUGCGGACAGUGUGAAGAGCUGUGGGAAACGUACAACAGAAUACAAUGCAAAUAUCAAGAUACGUAUAUUU